rnacentral:rRNA from 1 species
GACGAACGCUGGCGGCGUGCCUAAUACAUGCAAGUCGAGCGGAAGUUGAAGAGCUUGCUCUUCAACUUUAGCGGCGGACGGGUGAGUAACACGUGGGCAACCUGCCCUGCAGAUCGGGAUAACUCCGGGAAACCGGUGCUAAUACCGAAUAGUUUUCGCCACCUCCUGGUGGCGUACGGAAAGACGGUUUCGGCUGUCACUGCAGGAUGGGCCCGCGGCGCAUUAGCUAGUUGGUGGGGUAACGGCCCACCAAGGCGACGAUGCGUAGCCGACCUGAGAGGGUGAUCGGCCACACUGGGACUGAGACACGGCCCAGACUCCUACGGGAGGCAGCAGUAGGGAAUCUUCCGCAAUGGACGAAAGUCUGACGGAGCAACGCCGCGUGAGUGACGAAGGUUUUCGGAUCGUAAAACUCUGUUGUGAGGGAAGAACAAGUACCAACUAACUACUGGUACCUUGACGGUACCUCACCAGAAAGCCACGGCUAACUACGUGCCAGCAGCCGCCGUAAUAC